GACGAACGCUGGCGGCGUGCUUAACACAUGCAAGUCGAACGGAAAGGCCCUGCUUUUGUGGGGUGCUCGAGUGGCGAACGGGUGAGUAACACGAGAGUAACCUGCCCUUGACUUUGGGAUAACUUCAGGAAACUGGGGCUAAUACCGGAUAGGAGCUCCUGCUGCAUGGUGGGGGUUGGAAAGUGUCGGCGGUUGGGGAUGGACUCGCGGCUUAUCAGCUUGUUGGUGGGGUAGUGGCUUACCAAGGCUUUGACGGGUAGCCGGCCUGAGGGGGUGACCGGCCACAUUGGUCCUGAGAUACGGCCCAGACUCCUACGGGCGGCAGCAGUGGGGAAUAUUGCACAAUGGGCGGAAGCCUGAUGCAGCAACGCCGCGUGCGGGAUGACGGCCUUCGGGUUGUAAACCGCUUUCGCCUGUGACGAAGCGUGAGUGACGGUAAUGGGUAAAGAAGCACCGGCUAACUACGUG
rnacentral:rRNA from 1 species